GGGGCCGACCUGGUUUCGACCGGACAGGGAAGACUGUUCGCUGCGGGCCGUGGAGCAUCCAUGCCACGAUAAAAGGAUGCACAAUUUGUUAGCUGGCAACGCCAACUACGCCCUCGCGGCCUGAUCGCCGUGACGGAUCACGCAUGACGCCCGAUAGCGUGUGAUCCGAAACAUCGGGCUGGUUCCAAAGGGCUGACAGGCCCCGGAGGAACGAGAACUUUGUCUGUCAUGGCGGCUCCGACGCUCGUCGUCGGUGCUCGGAGUUGCCGAAAUUGAACCGACGAAUACGCUCGUAGACGCGGAUGGUUGACUGUUUCGGGACGAGGGUUCGAUUCCCUCCGGCUCCAUUG
rnacentral:tmRNA from 1 species